AUACGUAGGGAGCGAGCGUUGUCCGGAAUUACUGGGUGUAAAGGGAGCGUAGGCGGGACUGCAAGUCAGAUGUGAAAUACCGGGGCUUAACCCCGGAGCUGCAUUUGAAACUGUGGUUCUUGAGUGAAGUAGAGGCAAGCGGAAUUCCUGGGGUAGCGGGGAAAUGCGUAGAUAUCAGGAGGAACACCGGUGGCGAAGGCGGCUUGCUGGGCUUUUACUGAAGCUGAGGCUCGAAAGCGUUGGUAGCAAACAGGGUUAGAUACCCUGGUAGUCCACGCUGUAAACGAUGAAUACUAGGUGUGGGGGGACUGACCCCCUCCGUGCCGCAGUUAACACAAUAAGUAUUCCGCCUGGGGAGUACGGCCGCAAGGUUGAAACUCAAAUGAAUUGACGGGG
rnacentral:rRNA from 1 species